GAUGAACGCUGGCGGCGUGCCUGAUACAUGCAAGUCGAGCGAACGGACGAGAAGCUUGCUUCUCUGAUGUUAGCGGCGGACGGGUGAGUAACACGUGGAUAACCUACCUAUAAGACUGGGAUAACUUCGGGAAACCGGAGCUAAUACCGGAUAAUAUUUUGAACCGCAUGGUUCAAAAGUGAAAGACGGUCUUGCUGUCACUUAUAGAUGGAUCCGCGCUGCAUUAGCUAGUCGGUAAGGUAACGGCUUACCAAGGCAACGAUGCAUAGCCGACCUGAGAGGGUGAUCGGCCACACUGGAACUGAGACACGGUCCAGACUCCUACGGGAGGCAGCAGUAGGGAAUCUUCCGCAAUGGGCGAAAGCCUGACGGAGCAACGCCGCGUGAGUGAUGAAGGUCUUCGGAUCGUAAAACUCUGUUAUUAGGGAAGAACAUAUGUGUAAGUAACUGUGCACAUCUUGACGGUACCUAAUCAGAAAGCCACGGCUAACUACGUG
rnacentral:rRNA from 1 species